rnacentral:rRNA from 1 species
UACGUAGGGUGCAAGUGUUAUCCGGAAUUAUUGGGCGUAAAGAGCUCGUAGGCGGUUUGUCGCGUCUGCCGUGAAAGUCCGGGGCUCAACUCCGGAUCUGCGGUGGGUACGGGCAGACUAGAGUGAUGUAGGGGAGACUGGAAUUCCUGGUGUAGCGGUGAAAUGCGCAGAUAAUCAGGAGGAACACCGAUGGCGAAGGCAGGUCUCUGGGCAUUAACUGACGCUGAGGAGCGAAAGCAUGGGGAGCGAACAGGG